rnacentral:RNase_P_RNA from 1 species
AGGUCAAACGACCGCGGACGCAAGGCGAAAGCCUGCGUAUGAGGAAAGUCCGGGCUCCACAGGGCAAGGAUAACGGGUAACGCCCGCCAGGGGUGACCCUCGGACAAGUGCAACAGAGAUAUACCGCCCCGGAAACGGGGUAAGGGUGGAAAGGCGAGGUAAGAGCUCACCCGCCGCAUGGAGACAUGUCGGCGCUGUAAACUCUAUCCGGAGCAACACCGUGGGAGAACAUAUGGCCUGCCCGGCCGUUCUCAGGAGGUGGCUUGAGCCGCGCGGCAACGCACGGCCUAGAUAGAUGGUCGUUCACGACAGAACCCGGCUUACAGACCUGCUCGC